rnacentral:rRNA from 1 species
GGACGAACGCUGGCGGCGUGCCUAACACAUGCAAGUCGAACGGGGCUACGAAAGCUUGCUUUGUAGCUUAGUGGCGAACGGGUGAGUAACGCGUGAGAAACCUGCCUCUCAGUGGGGGACAACAGUUGGAAACGACUGCUAAUACCGCAUAAAGUAUCCGGAGGGCAUCCUGUGGAUACCAAAGCUUAAUGUGCUGAGAGAUGGUCUCGCGUCUGAUUAGCUAGAUGGCGGGGUAACGGCCCACCAUGGCGACGAUCAGUAGCCGGUCUGAGAGGAUGAACGGCCACAUUGGGACUGAGAUACGGCCCAGACUCCUACGGGAGGCAGCAGUGGGGAAUAUUGGGCAAUGGGGGAAACCCUGACCCAGCAACGCCGCGUGAAGGAAGAAGGCCUUCGGGUUGUAAACUUCUUUUAGUAGGGACGAAGAACGUGACGGUACCUACAGAAAAAGCAACGGCUAACUACGUG